rnacentral:lncRNA from 1 species
CUCUGCUGGAAGGCUGGAAAGGGACAUCCAAAGGUGAUGGCGAAGACUGGAGCUCCUGCAAAGUACCACACGGGGCUUCCUUCUUUGCCUUUUUAUUCCAUUCAGGGUAAAAGCCUAUUGGGUGGUGCCACUCACAUGAUGGGCGUGUCUACCAUUCAGCCACAUCCGGAACUGGCUAAGCCAGAUGGGCGUUUCUUACUCAAGCAGACACAACAGUUAACAGUGCCAUCCCCAGCAACCCCAGCCCUGCUACUGUGCCACCUGCCUUUGGGGGAAAGGCUCCCACGUCCUCGGCCCCUGGCACCCAGAACGCGUCCCCCUGAGAAUGAGCAAGGCUCCCCAUCAACACACCCUACCUGUGCGUGUGUGCCACCACCCGACAAGAAUGAUUUUCCAACAGUUGAGAGGUUGCAGAUCCUUUCUGAGGGAAUGAGUUCCAGCAUCCCUUCCCCACAUCAGACCACAGAAGUCAAACAGUAAAUUACACUUUAUUGCAUUUACAGAGAGGGUCUUGGGUAAAAAGGUGGCACCGGGCAAGCACACACAGGUGAGGAGCACCAGGGGGCAGCCUGUUAUAAAUACACUGGUGUGCUCAGGGCGCGUGUGGGCCCAGGGCAGCCCUGCAGGAAGGGGCAGGCGUGGGCAGGGCUGCACUCUCUGCUUCCCCCAGGCUGACACCGAUUCCCUCCCACCAGCAGCCACCUGCGGCCCGGUGGAGGAAGGACAGCUCCCUUUCAAACCUCAGCGGCAGGUGCAGGGGGAGAGGGAUCCUCCGCGGGUCUGCUGCUGUGGCGGCCAGUGGAGGUGGCAGACAGCUGUCCUCCCUCUCCUUCUAUAGGACGAACGACCGAAAGUCCCAGGUCCCGAUUCUUGUCAAAGGACAAACCCAUUCUGUUAACCUGACACUCGUCGACUCAUCCACCAAUCGACACAGUUCUGCUUGGCAAGUGCCUUCCACCUUCCCCAGGACUGGAGUGCCGAAGGUGAUCCGUGAUUCCCGAGCGUGGCCGUGCUGUGUGAAGUGCCGCUCCCGGGCAGGGGUGUGGGUGCCAGGGUCAGCAGGGGCCCUCUGAGGCCCGGGGCUACAGCAGCUUGACGUAAUUCUGUGGAAUCAGACCCCUCUUGCCGUUCAGAGUCCCCUCUAGCCAGCCAGGUUCCCUCGAGGUUUGUACUGCAAAGGAAGAGAAAGCACUUUGAACGGCAUGCCCUCCCCUGGCACCUGCUGCUGGCCUCACCGCUGUCUCUGCUGUGUCUCUCGGGCUCCAGCAGGGAGCAGCCAGGAGAAAAGGGCGCUGCACCUGGGAUAUCCACUUACGAAGUCUGCACAAGGGGGACAACAGAC